AGUGAACGCUGGCGGUAGGCCUAACACAUGCAAGUCGAACGGCAGCACAGUAAGAGCUUGCUCUUACGGGUGGCGAGUGGCGGACGGGUGAGGAAUACAUCGGAAUCUACUUUUUCGUGGGGGAUAACGUAGGGAAACUUACGCUAAUACCGCAUACGACCUACGGGUGAAAGCAGGGGAUCUUCGGACCUUGCGCGAUUGAAUGAGCCGAUGUCGGAUUAGCUGGUUGGCGGGGUAAAGGCCCACCAAGGCGACGAUCCGUAGCUGGUCUGAGAGGAUGAUCAGCCACACUGGAACUGAGACACGGUCCAGACUCCUACGGGAGGCAGCAGUGGGGAAUAUUGGACAAUGGGCGCAAGCCUGAUCCAGCCAUAUCGCGUGGGUGAAGAAGGCCUUCGGGUUGUAAAGCCCUUUUGUUGGGAAAGAAAAGCAGCAGGUUAAUACCCCGCUGUUCUGACGGUACCCAAAGAAUAAGCACCGGCUAACUUCGUG
rnacentral:rRNA from 1 species